AUUAGAGCUCCAUUUAGAGAGGAGUGAGCAGGGAACAGGCUUUGCUUCACUGCUUAAAGAGCUACUCAAAAAGGGGUGAAGGGGGAAGGAAAUAUAUGGGAGAAAUAUUUCAGCCCAAAGUAAUAUUUACUUGGGUGCUUAAAACUUUGUAAAAUGCCCUGGAGGUCACAAGCCAUUCAUCCUGCUGUGUAUUUCUCUUUAAGAAGGUGCUUCUUGGCUCCCAGCUCCCACCAGUGAGUCCCCACCAGAUCUGGAAAGCCUCCCUGCAGCACUUCCUCGAAGCUGGGAGCAAAGAGGCAAAUCUCUGCUUGUAAGAGGGCUCAGUGGAAUUUAAUCUCCCAGAUGGAAAGCAAAUCAAUCUGCCCAUCGCUGCAGCUGAGGUAUACUUUGGCUCAACUUUAAUUUAUUCUCUGAAGCUGAAGGAGGCUGGUCAUUUCAAGUUAUGAAAUCUUGUACGUGGAAGCAUUUGGUCACGACGAAUCUCUGAAGAACAGAUGUUCUGAUGCUGUCCCAUCAGGUGCAUCCACUGCUUUGCUGUGUGUUGUCCUCCUACUGUGUGACAGCUUAAGAUGGAGCCUGUGCAGUGCCCUCAGUCUGUAGCAGAGAUGUCAUUUAAUGGAUGAUCAGAACGUUAAUGAAUCUGCUCUGUGGAAAGAAUGGUCAGUACCCAGGGAAAAGCACCGCAGGAGAACCAGAAUGUGGGAUUGAAAAGUGACAGUGUGUUUUGUAGUGGAUAUUUGUGGUUAUAAUACCACUUAAAGAUAUUCGUAUCCUUGGAUUGAAAACAGGGAUCAGGAUGGGGACAGCCCCCACCGUAUUUCUGUACCUCCUGGCACCCGUGGUUAUCCAGAUCAGUCCUUGCUUGGCAGCUUUACUUUUCCAAAUGCCCCAACCUCUGUGCAGUGCUGGAUGCCCAAGGAGGCAGCGGAGCAGGAAGAGCUGAAGCACACAGGUUUGUUCCCAGACUUCUGCCCAGGGCACGUCUAUGAACAGGGGGGAAAUCCCAGUCAGGGUUGCAGGACAGAUGUGGAUGUUAGGAGCCUGCUUGUACCUCUACAUCUGCCAAAAGGCUAAAUCCAAACUUCCGAAAAGUUGAGAUCUAGAAGGGAGCUGAAGGAAAUACAGCAAGAUUUGUUACUGAAUCUUAAAUUAAUCAUGAAGGAUGGAGGGCUGAUUCCAGUGGAAUGUAACGUGAGACUGAAAGUCUAACCUGUCCAUCACGGCACUAAUCAUCCAGAAGACACAUCUGCACUGCGGUUACCAAAUACUCUGCCUUCCUCCAACUGUUUUAGGAAAGUAAAGGUUAUACAAAUGUUGUUAUUCGUUGCUUCCAUUUCUCAGGGGGGGGAAAAGGACUUCAGGAAGGAAGGAUUCAAAGAGGCAGAUGAGCUGCAGCGUGAUUAUGAAUUCUUCCCCUUCAGUGGGGAAAAGAGAGAGACCCCAGAUUUGCAUUUUUGCUUACUUCCUCUCUGGGGCAAAGUAACACUUCUGUCAGAAGCUAAUUGCAUCUGAAACCCAGCCUGGCAACCUGGCCAUGACUGUGGUAGGGUAAUUAUACCUGCUCAACUAAUCAUAGUGGCUG
rnacentral:lncRNA from 1 species